rnacentral:sRNA from 3 species
GUUUGCACUUGUCGGGGAAGGGUGAGAACCUUCGAUUAAGGUUCGACUCGAGCGAAAGCGAGAGAACGUUGCCAACGGCAACGGCCCGUA